rnacentral:rRNA from 1 species
UACGUAGGGGGCAAGCGUUGUCCGGAUUUAUUGGGCGUAAAGAGCGUGUAGGCGGCCUGAAAGGUCAGCUGUGAAAACUCGAGGCUCAACCUCGAGACGUCGGUUGAAACCAUCUGGCUAGAGUCCGGAAGAGGAGUGUGGAAUUCCCGGUGUAGCGGUGAAAUGCGCAGAUAUCGGGAAGAACACCCGUGGCGAAGGCGGCACUCUGGGACGGUACUGACGCUGAGACGCGAAAGCGUGGGAGCGAACAGG